rnacentral:rRNA from 1 species
AAAGAGCUCGUAGGCGGUUUGUCGCGUCUGCUGUGAAAAGGCCCGGGGGCUCAACCCCCGGGUCUGCAGUGGGUACGGGCAGACUAGAGUGCAGUAGGGGAGACUGGAAUUCCUGGUGUAGCGGUGAAAUGCGCAGAUAUCAGGAGGAACACCGAUGGCGAAGGCAGGUCUCUGGGCUGUUACUGACGCUGAGGAGCGAAAGCAUGGGGAGCGAACAGGAUUAGAUACCCUGGUAGUCCAUGCCGUAAACGUUGGGCACUAGGUGUGGGGGACAUUCCACGUUUUCCGCGCCGUAGCUAACGCAUUAAGUGCCCCGCCUGGGGAGUACGGCCGCAAGGCUAAAACUCAAAGGAAUUGACGGGGGCCCGCACAAGCGGCGGAGCAUGCGGAUUAAUUCGAUGCAACGCGAAGAACCUUACCAAGGCUUGACAUUCACCGGACUGCCCCAGAGAUGGGGUUUCCCUUCGGGGUCGGUGGACAGGUGGUGCAUGGUUGUCGUCAGCUCGUGUCGUGAGAUGUUGGGUUAAGUCCCGCAACGAGCGCAACCCUCGUUCUAUGUUGCCAGCACGUGAUGGUGGGGACUCAUAGGAGACUGCCGGGGUCAACUCGGAGGAAGGUGGGGAUGACGUCAAAUCAUCAUGCCCCUUAUGUCUUGGGCUUCACGCAUGCUACAAUGGCCGGUACAAAGGGUUGCGAUACUGUGAGGUGGAGCUAAUCCCAAAAAGCCGGUCUCAGUUCGGAUUGAGGUCUGCAACUCGACCUCAUGAAGUCGGAGUCGCUAGUAAUCGCAGAUCAGCAACGCUGCGGUGAAUACGUUCCCGG